AGUGAACGCUGGCGGUAGGCCUAACACAUGCAAGUCGAACGGCAGCACAGUAAGAGCUUGCUCUUACGGGUGGCGAGUGGCGGACGGGUGAGGAAUACAUCGGAAUCUACUUUUUCGUGGGGGAUAACGUAGGGAAACUUACGCUAAUACCGCAUACGACCUACGGGUGAAAGCAGGGGAUCUUCGGACCUUGCGCGAUUGAAUGAGCCGAUGUCGGAUUAGCUAGUUGGCGGGGUAAAGGCCCACCAAGGCGACGAUCCGUAGCUGGUCUGAGAGGAUGAUCGGCCGCACUGGAACUGAGACACGGUCCAGACUCCUACGGGAGGCAGCAGUGGGGAAUAUUGGACAAUGGGCGCAAGCCUGAUCCAGCCAUACCGCGUGGGUGAAGAAGGCCUUCGGGUUGUAAAGCCCUUCUGUUGGGAAAGAAAAGCAGCAGGUUAAUACCCCGCUGUUCUGACGGUACCCAAAGAAUAAGCACCGGCUAACUUCGUG
rnacentral:rRNA from 1 species